rnacentral:lncRNA from 1 species
UUGUAGCGUAAAAGUUAAAUAAAUUCAUACAUAUUGUAAUAUAGAUAACCAAAGUAUAAAAUUUAAUUUACAAUGACAUGUGGGCCCACGAACGACCAAAAGUAUCAAAAGUGGUAAACCUACAGUUUUUGAGGAUGCAAGUCCAACUGUAGCUCUCAACGAAAUGAGCUAUCUACUGACUAUGUUGAGCCUAAAAUGGGUGGAAAUGAGGGUGGUGAGAUUAUAUAAUCCCAGUGAGUAAACAAAUACCAUCUAAAAUAUCUAAAGCUGAGUAAAUGGAGACAAAUAAAAUAAUUUAACAUACUGUAAUUCAUCACCUUUCAACUCAUUUCAACCAAAUAAAAUCAAUUCAUAUAAAUCGAGUAAUCAACAUGGCUUAUGAAUUUCUUAAAACUUUGGCUCGUGCCAAAAUCAUUCUCAUACUCAAUUAUCAGGGAUACCUUGGCCGAGGGCUAUCCCAACCGAGUCUACCAAGGCUAUUAGAAAGUUAUGUACGCAUAAAUCAUGUUUUUAUUUUUGAAAACAUAGUCAUUCCUUGGCGUUAGCUGAGUUCACCUCACGUAGUGGUUUGGUGUGAAGUGAACUCUAAAGUGUUAACCUCAGGAGUUAUCCAUCCGCGCCUCUCAUACUGAGGUACUAAUAUAAUAGGGUUACCGUGCCCCCUCUAAUAAGCUGGUCCACGAAACCCAUCCACUGCAGCGACUAAUCAAUAACCCACCAAUUCAAUAAAAAUUUAAUAGCAUGACAUGGCAAUUUUAUCAUUAUCCAGCCUAUCAAGGCAAACAACAGUUUAUACAUUUUCAACACAAAUACCAAUUCAACCAUUCAUGCCAAUAUUAUCAUAAGCCAUUCAAUUCAAACCAUGAUUUAUAACACAACAAUUAGUCUCCAAUUACUCCAUUUUCAAAGCCAUCAUUCAAUUUCAAGACAAUUUAUAAAAUCAUUUCAUUUAAGCACAUUUUGUUUAUAAAACAUAAAGAUUUACCAUUUAAACACAUUUUUCUAUAAAAUCACAAAAACGAAUAAAAACUACUUUAGAUAAUUAAGACGAUAGUAAGGUUACUCACAGUAAUGGAAAUCGAGUUUCGAGUACUCCGAUUCUUGAUCCUCGAGUACUAGCUCUUUACUUUUGCCAGAAUGCUCACCACCUAGACAUAAUGCACAAUAAGCCAUUUACUACAUUUGUGCUAAAUUGUUAUAAAACCAAUCCAGGCUCUAUACUAAUGCAUGAAAUGGAAUGUAAAUUGUUCAAAUUAUCAUCUAAACACGGUGUUCAAUAUAAAUUCAAUUAUGUACUUCAAUAAAAUGGUAUUGGCCUAAUUCGAUCUAUCACCCAAUUAAUUGGCCAAUACGUCCAAUUCAACUUCGAAUAAUUCCAUUUUUCUCCCAAUACUCCAAAUCAUCAAACACAAAUUAAAUAACUUGAAAUAUGGCAAAAUCAUCCUCACAUUUUCUCUUGGAGAAUUCGGCCAUGAUGGGUGCAUCAACACUAUAAUUUUUCCUACUUGAUUCUCACACCAUAAAUCAUUAAUUCCUAACCAAAUCACUUGAAAUAAAAUCAAAAUCAUCCUCAAUAUUCCACAUGGAGAAUUCGGCCAAUGAUGGGUGAUGGAAGAACAUGAAAUUUUCUUGCUUGAUUUUCAUGCUACACAUCACCAAUCAACUAAAAACACUAAAAUACAUUGAAAUCUAACCAAAUCAAGCAUCAAAUCCUCUCUCUAAGUGUUCAGCCAGCAAGAUACCCAUCAUGAAAUCAUGUGAUUCAACCAUGGAAAAUGCAAAAGAAUGUAUGGGAAAGGCAGAUCACAAGUCAAAAUCAAGAAAUUUUACCUUUAAUUACUUGAUUACUUGAAAUCCACCAAAUUUUCUCUUGAAUUUUCACCCUAGGGUUCUUGUUCUUUCUUUUCUUCCUUUGUUAUUG